CUUGUAGAUGAUCCAGUAGAACAUGUUGAAGAUGAGGAAGGCCAUGGGGAAACCGAUGCGAGAUAUCUUGUCGAUCUUCUUGGCUCUCUGGAUGAAGAGUUUCCGCAUCUCCUCCGGGGACUUGGAUGGCGCAGGAGGCGGUUUCUUCCUUUAGGGCGAAGAGGUUAACGCAGUUGGUCGUCCACAUCCAUGGGUUCUACGUCCGUGGUUUCAUCCAAAGUGCAAGUAGAAUCGUUCAGAAGAAGUUCGUCUCCCCUGAACAUGGACAGACUCUUCCUGCCAUCACAUCCCAGACGACAGGUGAACAUCUGUCUCCACAGCAUUUACAUCAAGUUAGACAUUGUCAGUUAUCCUGAGAUAACAUAUUCAGAAGGAUGUGCACGGGCCACAUACAAACACUGCUCCACACUAUCAAGGGAACUUAAACAUCUUUGGAUUUAGGUAUCUGAGGAGGUUCUGGAGGGAACCUCUUGAAAAAUAUUAAAGGAAGACAGAAAUAAAAAAAAUACAUACUUAA